rnacentral:misc_RNA from 1 species
GAUGAAGAACGUAGCGAAAUGCGAUACGUAAUGUGAAUUGCAAAUUCAGUGAAUCAUCGAGUCUUUGAACGCACAUUGCGCCCCCUGGUAUUCCGAGGGGCAUGCCUAUUCGAGCGUCAUUAUCACCCCUCAAGCCUAGCUUGGUGUUGAGACCUGCUGUCAAGGCAGUCUCUAAAAUCAGUGGCAGUGCUGUCAGGCUCUAAGCGUAGUAAAUCUAAUCGCUAUAGACACCUGGUGGACACUCGCCAGAACCCCCCCAUUUUUUAAUGAUUGACCUCGGAUUAGGUAGGGAUACCCGCUGAACUUAAGCAUAUCAAUAAGCCGGAGGA